GACAGAGGGGGCAAGCGUUGCUCGGAAUUACUGGGCGUAAAGGGCGCGUAGGCGGGAUGGCAAGUCGGUCGUGAAAUCCCUCGGCUCAACCGAGGAACGUCGAUCGAUACUGCUGUUCUUGAGGAUUGCAGAGGAGACUGGAAUUCCCGGUGUAGCGGUGAAAUGUGUAGAGAUCGGGAGGAACACCGGUGGCGAAGGCGGGUCUCUGGGCAAUUCCUGACGCUGAGGCGCGAAAGUGUGGGGAUCAAACAGG
rnacentral:rRNA from 1 species